rnacentral:tRNA from 1 species
GCGUGAGUGGUGAAAGCAUCCCGCUUGGCUUCCUGCCAAGAGUUCCUAGUUCAAAUCUAGGCUCGCGCUCCA